GCGGGUGGGUACGGGCAGACUAGAGUGAUGUAGGGGAGACUGGAAUUCCUGGUGUAGCGGUGAAAUGCGCAGAUAUCAGGAGGAACACCGAUGGCGAAGGCAGGUCUCUGGGCAUUAACUGACGCUGAGGAGCGAAAGCAUGGGGAGCGAACAGGAUUAGAUACCUGGUAGUCCAUGCCGUAAACGUUGGGCACUAGGUGUGGGGGACAUUCCACGUUUUCCGCGCCGUAGCUAACGCAUUAAGUGCCCCGCCUGGGGAGUACGGCCGCAAGGCUAAAACUCAAAGGAAUUGACGGGGGCCCGCACAAGCGGCGGAGCAUGCGGAUUAAUUCGAUGCAACGCGAAGAACCUUACCAAGGCUUGACAUGAACCGGUAAUACCUGGAGACAGGUGCCCCGCUUGCGGUCGGUUUACAGGUGGUGCAUGGUUGUCGUCAGCUCGUGUCGUGAGAUGUUGGGUUAAGUCCCGCAACGAGCGCAACCCUCGUUCUAUGUUGCCAGCACGUGAUGGUGGGGACUCAUAGGAGACUGCCGGGGUCAACUCGGAGGAAGGUGGGGACGACGUCAAAUCAUCAUGCCCCUUAUGUCUUGGGCUUCACGCAUGCUACAAUGGCCGGUACAAAGGGUUGCGAUACUGUGAGGUGGAGCUAAUCCCAAAAAGCCGGUCUCAGUUCGGAUUGGGGUCUGCAACUCGACCCCAUGAAGUCGGAGUCGCUAGUAAUCGCAGAUCAGCAACGCUGCGGUGAAUACGUUCCCGGGCCUUGUAC
rnacentral:rRNA from 1 species